rnacentral:rRNA from 1 species
CCUACGGGCGGCAGCAGUGAGGAAUAUUGGUCAAUGGGCGAGAGCCUGAACCAGCCAAGUCGCGUGAAGGAUGACGGCUCUAUGGUUUGUAAACUUCUUUUAUAUGGGGAUAAAGUGAGGAACGUGUUCCUUUUUGUAUGUACCAUAUGAAUAAGCAUCGGCUAACUCCGUGCCAGCAGCCGCGGUAAUACGGAGGAUGCGAGCGUUAUCCGGAUUUAUUGGGUUUAAAGGGUGCGUAGGUGGUUAAUUAAGUUAGCGGUGAAAUGUUGUGGCUCAACCAUAAAAUUGCCGUUGAUACUGGUGAACUUGAGUGUAGUUGAGGUAGGCGGAAUGUGUGGUGUAGCGGUGAAAUGCAUAGAGAUCACGCAGAACUCCGAUUGCGAAGGCAGCUUACUAAACUAUAACUGACACUGAAGCACGAAAGCGUGGGGAUCAAACAGGAUUAGAUACCCCUGUAGUC